CCUACGGGAGGCUGCAGUGGGGAAUAUUGGACAAUGGGGGCAACCCUGAUCCAGCCAUGCCGCGUGUGUGAAGAAGGCCCUCGGGUUGUAAAGCACUUUCAGUGAGGAAGAAUGCCUGGUGGUUAAUACCCAUCAGGAAAGACAUCACUCACAGAAGAAGCACCGGCUAACUCCGUGCCAGCAGCCGCGGUAAUACGGAGGGUGCGAGCGUUAAUCGGAAUUACUGGGCGUAAAGCGCGCGUAGGUGGCUUGAUAAGCCGGUUGUGAAAGCCCCGGGCUCAACCUGGGAACGGCAUCCGGAACUGUCAAGCUAGAGUGCAGGAGAGGAAGGUAGAAUUCCCGGUGUAGCGGUGAAAUGCGUAGAGAUCGGGAGGAAUACCAGUGGCGAAGGCGGCCUUCUGGACUGACACUGACACUGAGGUGCGAAAGCGUGGGUAGCAAACAGGAUUAGAUACCCCAGUAGUC
rnacentral:rRNA from 1 species